rnacentral:rRNA from 1 species
UUCAUAUUUAUUUUAUUAAAAAUAAUUAUAAAAAUUUAUGUUUGGUAUUUUUUAAAGAAAAAAUAAUUUUAAUUAUAAAUAAUUAGUAUUGAAAAAGAAUGUUGAAAUAAUUUGAAAUAUUAAUAAAAAAUAAAGAAAACUUAAUUUGUUGUACCUUGUGUAUCAGGGUUUAUCAAAUAAAUAAUAUGUAUAUAUUUUUCUCGAUUUUAAGAGAUCUAAUAAUUUAUGUUAGUUAAUGUUGAAUAAUUAUUAGAAAUAAAUUAUUAGAAAUGAAACGUUAUUCGUUCUUAAAGAUAUCUAGUUUUCUAAGAAAUAAAUUUAAUUUACAAGUUUUUAAUGUUAUAAUUUAAAUAWUAAUUAUAAUGAUAAAAAUUAAUUAAUAAUGAUAAAAUUAGUAUAUAAAUUUAUAAUAAUAAAAUAAGUUAAAAGAUUUUUAUAAAUAAUUCGGCAAAACUAAUAUUCGCCUGUUUAUCAAAAACAUGUCUUUUUGUAUUAAAUUUAAAGUCUGGCCUGCCCACUGAAUAAUUUUAAAGGCUGCGGUAUUUUGACCGUACAAAGGUAGCAUAAUCAUUAGUUUUUUAAUUGAAAACUCGUAUGAAUGGUUUAACGAAAUAUUGACUGUUUCAUAAAAAUUUAAAUAGAAAUUAAUUUUUUAGUUAAAAAGCUAAAAUAAAAUUAAAAGACGAGAAGACCCUAUAGAGUUUUAUACAAAUAUUUUAUAAUUUAUUUAUAAUAAUUAAAAUUUUAUUGUUUUUUGUAUUUUGUUGGGGUGACAAUAAAAUUUUAAAACCUUUUAUUUUUUAUUAACAAUGAUUUUUGAAUAAUUGAUCCACUAUUAGUGAUUAUAAGAUUAAAUUACCUUAGGGAUAACAGCGUAAUUUUUUUGUAGAGUUCAUAUCGAUAAAAAUUUUUGCGACCUCGAUGUUGGAUUAAGAAUAAUUUUAGGUGUAGAAGCUUAAUAAAUUAGGUCUGUUCGACCUUUAAUUUCUUACAUGAUCUGAGUUCAAACCGGUGUAAGCCAGGUUGGUUUCUAUCUUUAAUAAAUUACUAUAAUUUAGUACGAAAGGACCAAUUAUAGGAAAUAUAAAUUUUAUAAAAUUGAAUAUUAUUAAUAUAG